rnacentral:rRNA from 1 species
AGUGAACGCUGGCGGCGUGCCUAAUACAUGCAAGUCGAACGAUGAAGUCCUAGCUUGCUGGGCUGGAUUAGUGGCGCACGGGUGAGUAAUAUAUAGUUAAUCUGCCCUACACAGAGGAACAACAGUUGGAAACGACUGCUAAUACCUCAUACUCCUAUUUGUCAUAGGUUAAGUAGGGAAAGUCUUUUCGUUGUAGGAUGAGACUAUAUCGUAUCAGCUAGUUGGUAAGGUAAUGGCGUACCAAGGCUAUGACGCGUAACUGGUCUGAGAAGAUGAGCAGUCAAAUUGGAACGGAGGCACGGGCCAAGAACAUACGGGAAGGAGCAGUAAGGAAUAUUGCGCAAUGGGGGAGACCCUGACGCAGCAACGCGGCGUGGAGGACGACAGUUUGCGGAGAGUAAACUCCUUUUAUCAGGAAAGAAUAAUGACGGUACCUGAUGAAUAAGCACCGGCUAACUCCGUG